AGGAUAAACGCUGGCGGCGUGCCUAACACAUGCAAGUCGAACGCGCUUUCGGGCUUCGGUGCGAGAGCGAGUGGCGGACGGGUGAGUAACACAUGGGUACCUACCUUGGAGUGAGGGAUACCGGCGAGAAAUCGCCGACAAUACCGCAUAGGCUUCUUCACAAGGGAAGCAAAGUGACGCGAGUCACGCUGUGAGAUGGGCCUGUGGCCGAUUAGCUAGUUGGGGGGUAACGGCUUCCCAAGGCGACGAUCGGUAGCUGGUCUGAGAGGACGAUCAGCCACACUGGGAUUGAGAACGGCCCAGACUCCUACGGGGGGCAGCAGUGAGGAAUUUUCCGCAAUGGAGGCAACUCUGACGGAGCAACGCCGCGUGCAGGAGGAAGGUUUUCGGAUCGUAAACUGCUUUUCUCGGGGACGAGCAAGGACGGUACCCGAGGAAGAAGCCUCGGCUAACUACGCGCCAGCAGCCGCGGUAA
rnacentral:rRNA from 1 species